GCCCCAGUAGCUCAAUAGGACAGAGCACCGGACUUCUAAUCCGAUGGUUGCGAGUUCGAGUCUCGCCUGGGGCGCUA
rnacentral:tRNA from 1 species